rnacentral:ncRNA from 2 species
ACUUAAUAUACUCUCCGACCUGCUAAGCCUAAAUCCCGAUGAGUCGGGACAGGGCAGGCAGGCGAUAGGGUAUCGCGGGAAACGGCGAUGCCUCCCUUUUGGAAAGGAGAGCGGCUUAUGCUGAU